rnacentral:piRNA from 1 species
UAGAGUGAGCAGUUAACCUCUAGCC